GACGAACGCUGGCGGCGUGCUUAACACAUGCAAGUCAGGGAGAACGAGGUAGCAAUAUCUCUAGUAAACCGGCGCACGGGUGAGUAACACGUAGGCAAUUUGCCUUUAGGACGGGGACAACCUCGAGAAAUCGGGGCUAAUACCCGAUAAUGCAGCGGCACCGCAUGGUGAUGUUGUUAAAGGCCCCAAAAGGGCGCCUAUUGAUGAGCCUGCGUCCCAUUAGGUAGUUGGCGGGGUAACGGCCCACCAAGCCGACGAUGGGUAGCUGGUCUGAGAGGAGGAUCAGCCACACUGGAACUGAGACACGGUCCAGACUCCUACGGGAGGCAGCAGUGAGGAAUAUUGCGCAAUGGCCGAAAGGCUGACGCAGCGACGCCGCGUGGAGGAUGAAGUCCGUUAGGAUGUAAACUCCUUUUGCAGGGGAUGAAUGUUCCGCUCUAUGCGGACUUGACCGUACCCUGCGAAUAAGGAUCGGCCAACUACGUGCCAGCAGCCGCCGUAAAAC
rnacentral:rRNA from 1 species